UGGGGUAUCGCCAAGCGGUAAGGCAUGGGACUUUGACUCCCACAUGCGUUGGUUCGAAUCCAGCUACCCCAGCCA
rnacentral:tRNA from 2 species